CAAGGGUUUUAAUUGGUACAGUUUUCCGCACCUAGACUUAGUAAUGGUCAUGGAUAUAGCUUAGCACAGCAUAAUGUGACGGUCCGGCCUUACAGCCUAACCAGUAGAAGGCGGGUCGUCACACUUUUCCUUUCCGCUUUUUCCCUUGUUGUAGUUUCUAUUUGGACCCGAAGAAAUCGUAAAAAUUAUCAACUUUUCAUUAUCUUCUCUAAUGGUAAAAGUCUGCACUAUCAUAAUGUACUUAACUUUUGUCUAACUUGAUCUAAUCUAAUUCCAAUUUAUCUUGCUCUAAGUGCAGUGAUCUUUGAUUAAAACAGUGCUUUCAAUCCUUUACAGGAAAGGCAUUGCAGAGGUGAAAAAAGAGUACAUUGCCUGUCUCAAAUCUUUUGAUUACCAAUCAGAAAAAUGCAAGCACCUAUCAAAGAAAUACUUGCAAUGCCGAAUGGAAAGAAACUUGAUGGCGAAACAAGACCUAUUAGAGCUUAGUUUUCGCAAUGCUACAACAAAUUUAUCCGAGAAGCCCUUGAUCCCUCCUUUGAAAUAAUAAUUGUUGAUCAAGUUGUAUCUGCUAUUGCUUGAAUCAGUUGAUUAAGGUUGCAAGUUGAGCCUGUACUUUCAAUAAGACUAGAAAUUUUAUCCUUUAAUCAAGUAGUAGCUUCUUGAUUGAGUUUAUUUAGCAUAUGAAACUCAUUUAAGAUUUAUGGUUUGUUGUUCAAUUUUUUUGGACCUCAUACUUGUUAUAAUUUUUGGUUUAUAAUGCAUUGAACCUUAUUUAACAUUGUUUAAAUUUUAAAGUGUGUAUUUAAAUACAUAUAUAAUAAGUAGCCUUAUUGAAGAAACUACAGUGCCAAAGAGGGGACAUUAUUGCAGUCAUUCAAAGGUUUAAUAUCCAAGUUAGCAAUUUGACUCAAGGAGUGAAGAGUUACUCUGUGAAGUUGAUGAGGACUACAUAUUAAGGUCUGGAUUUAUUAUGAAAGUGAUGAUCAACAAUGUUGGAAAAGGUUGACAUGGAAGAAUCAGCAAGUGGGAAAGAGGAGUUCAAUGAAAUCCUACAAGUUGAAGAUUGUGAUGGGACUUGGGUUGGCAAUAAUUAAGUGCAAUCUUACUUAGCAUGAACCACCAUCACAAGUUUCUAGUCUUUUAGCUAUUGUUCAUUAGUUGUAAAUGGAGUUUAUUCAUUUAUUUGUAUUGAGAUAAAUUUUAUUUGAAUAUGAGAUAUGUUUUUUUU